GACAGAGGGUGCAAACGUUGUUCGGAAUUACUGGGCGUAAAGCGCGCGCAGGCGGCUAUGUAAGUCUGAUGUUAAAGCCCGAGGCUCAACCUCGGUUCGCAUUGGAAACUGUGUAGCUUGAGUGCAGAAGAGGAAAGCGGUAUUCCACGUGUAGCGGUGAAAUGCGUAGAGAUGUGGAGGAACACCAAUGGCGAAGGCAGCCUUCUGGGUCGACACUGACGCUCAUGCACGAAAGCGUGGGGAGCAAACAGG
rnacentral:rRNA from 1 species